rnacentral:rRNA from 1 species
AUACGUAGGGUGCAAGCGUUAAUCGGAAUUACUGGGCGUAAAGCGUGCGCAGGCGGUUUUGUAAGACAGGGGUGAAAUCCCCGGGCUCAACCUGGGAACUGCCAUUGUGACUGCAAGGCUGGAGUGCGGCAGAGGGGGAUGGAAUUCCGCGUGUAGCAGUGAAAUGCGUAGAUAUGCGGAGGAACACCGAUGGCGAAGGCAAUCCCCUGGGCCUGCACUGACGCUCAUGCACGAAAGCGUGGGGAGCAAACAGGAUUAGAUACCCUGGUAGUCCACGCCCUAAACGAUGUCAACUGGUUGUUGGGGAUUUAUUUUCUCAGUAACGAAGCUAACGCGUGAAGUUGACCGCCUGGGGAGUACGGCCGCAAGGUUAAAACUCAAAUGAAUGGACGGGG